CUUACACCCCGGCUUCGGGGAUCCGUUCUAGCCAGGACCACCCGGCCGGAAGCCGGGGAGCGGAAACCGGUAAAAGCCGCGCGGGCGCCCGGCCCUGACGAUGGAACACAGGACAAUGUGGUAGCGCUUCUCUGGGUCCCUGGAUCUGGACAACAGGUCCAGGACAGGGUGAGAGCCCUGGUCGGCCCGAGUGCGUGGGUCUGAGUAGAGGAAAGGAGCACAGAAUCCCCAGGAUCUGGAGCUCCUUAAAGGCAAGGCCUGUGUCUUGCUCACCAUCGUCCCCACUGCUGAGCCAGGUACACUCAGGAAACCUUCAGAUUA